GACGAACGCUGGCGGCGUGCUUAACACAUGCAAGUCGAACGGAAAGGCCCUGCUUUUGUGGGGUGCUCGAGUGGCGAACGGGUGAGUAACACGUGAGUAACCUGCCCUUGACUUUGGGAUAACUUCAGGAAACUGGGGCUAAUACCGGAUAGGAGCUCCUGCUGCAUGGUGGGGGUUGGAAAGUUUCGGCGGUUGGGGAUGGACUCGCGGCUUAUCAGCUUGUUGGUGGGGUAGUGGCUUACCAAGGCUUUGACGGGUAGCCGGCCUGAGAGGGUGACCGGCGACAUUGGGACUGAGAUACGGCGCAGACUCCUACGGGGGGCAGCAGUGGGGAGUAUUGCACAAUGGGCGGGAGCCUGAUGCAGCGGCGCCGCGUGCGGGAUGACGGCCUUCGGGUUGUAAACCGCUUUCGCCUGUGACGAAGCGGGAGUGACGGUAAUGGGUAAAGAAGCACCGGCUAACUACGUG
rnacentral:rRNA from 1 species